UACGUAGGGGGCAAGCGUUAUCCGGAUUUAUUGGGUUUAAAGGGUGCGUAGGCGGGACCUUAAGUCAGCGGUAAAAUUGCGGUGCUCAACGCCGUAGAGCCGUUGAAACUGGCGUUCUUGAGUGGGCGAGAAGUACGCGGAAUGCGUGGUGUAGCGGUGAAAUGCAUAGAUAUCACGCAGAACUCCGAUUGCGAAGGCAGCAUACCGGCGCGCAACUGACGCUCAUGCACGAAAGCGUGGGUAUCGAACAGG
rnacentral:rRNA from 1 species